AGUCAGCUGAGGCCAAGGACCCAAGGUGACCGCGCUCCCUCGGACGCUCGCUCCGGAGGCGAUGGCGAUGACCGUGCAAGCUGGCUUGGUGGCCUUGCCUGCAUGUUCUCCACCACCCUUCUCUUCCAUAUGCUGUGCAUUUAUCAAGCUGGUUGGGAGCUCCUUGGAGCUGGCGCCUCGGGAGAUGGUGGUGGAGAGCGUGUCGUUUCAACUGAUGAGUAGAUCAUGGCCCAAAUUGAUGCGACAGAACAUGCCUUGGGUGACCGGCUUCUAGCUCUUCACUUGGUAGAGGCCAUGCCGAAGCCCGUGCACCUCCUUCCGAUUCUCAAGGGCCAGAUCCGUUUCAUGAAGUCGUUAGUGAACUUGGAUAAGGACAAGUAUUACCAUAUGCCCUUUUGAAGGUGGGGAAGAGGUGGUUCGCUGAUUUAAGGUGGAGCAUGACUUGUGGCCUAAUGAGACCCCGACUCCUUGACGCGCGCAACCUAGAGGCCACCGAGGUGUCUUGCCGCUCUCUGAGUCAUGAUGGCUUACGGAGCACUUGGACAACGUGAAGAAAAGUGCGAGUCGCUUUGAGGAGAAAUACUAGGCCAAGGAGCAGCUUGGCAUUUACUCAAAAGGAAAUGAUGGCUCGCCACAAGCUUUCCUUAAAGGAUCAUUUUCUUUAAAUUUCUAGAACAUUUAUUCAAAAUUUAAUAAUUUUUUA